rnacentral:rRNA from 1 species
CCUACGGGUGGCAGCAGUGAGGAAUAUUGGGCAAUGGGCGAGAGCCUGAACCAGCCAAGUCGCGUGAAGGAUGAAGGAUCUCUGGUUUGUAAACUUCUUUUAUAUGGGAGUAAAAUGAGGAACGUGUUCCUUUUUGUAUGUACCAUAUGAAUAAGCAUCGGCUAACUCAGUUCCAUCAGCCGCGGUAAGACGGAGGAUGCGAGCGUUGUCCGGAUUUAUUGGGUUUAAAGGGUGCGUAGGUGGUUAAUUAAGUCAGCGGUGAAAGCUUGCGGCUCAACCAUACAAUUGCCGUUGAAACUGGUUGACUUGAGUAUAUAUGAGGUAGGUGGAAUGCGUGGUGUAGCGGUGAAAUGCAUAGAUAUAACGAAGAACACCGAUUGCGAAGGCAGCUUACUAAACUAUGACUGACACUGAAGCACGAAAGCGUGGGGAGCAAACAGGAUUAGAUACCCGAGUAGUC